AGAAAGGAGUCAUGUUCUUAACCUAGCAGCCGCCAUUCCAUUCCCACAUUGUCACCGGCUUCAUCGUCGUACAACCUUAACCGCCGUCACACUUUGCCGGUGAAAAAAAAAAAAACUUCAAGAUAGUCGCAACACCACCGUCUAGCGCGAAACAGAUACAUCCCACCGUGACCAACAUAGCCUCACAACUCUCAACUUUCUGCUUGGGCGUAUGGAUCGCCUCCGUUCUACACGAGUCCGGCCACCCUCGCUGCCCCUAUUAGUCACGAAUCAGAGCAGCCGCACCGUCAUGGCCACCGCAGCCUUAUCGCCUCCCAUCAUUCCCGAUCUACUCCGUGAUUGAAACCACCAUCAUUUAUGCCCGUUUGUUAGUCGUCGCAGCCCACCGGCAACGUGAUCGUUACCGGGCUUUCUCUCGUCGUUCCGAUCUACAAGGUUUGCGUAUUAUUUUUAAGGACAGUUCGAUUUGUGGGUUUUUGCUGCGCUUGCAAACAAAGGUAAUAUGGGAUGAUCUGGGAUUUCAGUGAUGAGCGUUAGGAAGUUGCUGGUCAAGAUUCUAUAUUUCAGUACUGUAAUAAAUGUAAUUAGGAUAUUUUAUUUAAUGUUAUGGAUUGGUUUUAGUUUUGAUAUCUGUAAGAGUGACACGUCAGCCCUAGCGGGGUUGGGGUGUUACAGUAGACCAUGUAUUUGUCACUGGAAUACAACAAUCAAGAGAUGUAAACCUAAACAAUGACGAUGAUGCUUAUGAUAGCUCUAGUUCUAUAUUA